CCUACGGGGGGCAGCAGUAGGGAAUUUUGCGCAAUGGGCGAAAGCCUGACGCAGCAACGCCGCGUGAUCGAGACGCCCUUCGGGGUGUAAAGAUCUGUCAGUGGGGACGAAACUUGACGGUACCCACAGAGGAAGCACCGGCUAACUCCGUGCCAGCAGCCGCGGUAAUACGGGGGGUGCAAGCGUUGUCCGGAAUCAUUGGGCGUAAAGGGAGCGUAGACGGUGCAGCAAGUCUGAUGUGAAAGGUCGGGGCCCAACCCCGGGACUGCAUUGGAAACUGUUGAACUGGAGUACAGGAGAGGUAAGCGGAAUUCCUAGUGUAGCGGUGAAAUGCGUAGAUAUUAGGAGGAACACCAGUGGCGAAGGCGGCUUACUGGACUGUAACUGACGUUGAGGCUCGAAAGCGUGGGGAGCAAACAGGAUUAGAUACCCGGGUAGUC
rnacentral:rRNA from 1 species